AAAACUAUAAUAUGGGGGUACAGUAGCCAAAGCAGCAUGGCACUAGUAUAAAAAUAGACACAUAAAUCAAUGGAACAGAAUAGAGAACCCAGAAAUAAG